GACGAACGCUGGCGGCGUGCCUAAUACAUGCAAGUUGAGCGCUGAAGGUUGGUACUUGUACCUACUGGAUUAGCAGCGAACGGGUGAGUAACGCGUGGGGAAUCUGCCUUUGAGCGUGGGACAACAUUUGGAAACGAAUGCUAAUACCGCAUAAAAACUUUAAACACAAGGUUUAAUUUUGAAAGAUGCAAUUGCAUCACUCAAAGAUUAUCCCGCGUUGUAUUAGCUAAUUUGUGAGGGAAAGGCCUACCAAGGCGAUGAUACAUAGCCGACCUGAGAAGGUGAUCGGCCACAUUUGGACUGAGACAAGGCCCAAACUCCUACGGGAGGCAGCAGUAGGGAAUCUUCGGCAAUGGACGAAAGUCUGAACGAGCAAAGCCGCGUGAGUGAAGAAGGUUUUCGGAUCGUAAAACUCUGUUGGUAGAGAAGAACGUUGGUGAGAGUGGAAAGCUCACCAAGUGACGGUAACUAACCAGAAAGGGACGGCUAACUACGUG
rnacentral:rRNA from 1 species